rnacentral:rRNA from 1 species
GAUGAACGCUGGCGGCGUGCCUAAUACAUGCAAGUCGAGCGAACGGACGAGAAGCUUGCUUCUCUGAUGUUAGCGGCGGACGGGUGAGUAACACGUGGAUAACCUACCUAUAAGACUGGGAUAACUUCGGGAAACCGGAGCUAAUACCGGAUGAUAUUUUGAACCGCAUGGUUCAAAAGUGAAAGACGGUCUUGCUGUCACUUAUAGAUGGAUCCGCGCUCCAUUAGCUAGUUGGUAAGGUAACGGCUUACCAAGGCAACGAUGCAUAGCCGACCUGAGAGGGUGAUCGGCCACACUGGAACUGAGACACGGUCCAGACUCCUACGGGAGGCAGCAGUAGGGAAUCUUCCGCAAUGGGCGAAAGCCUGACGGAGCAACGCCGCGUGAGUGAUGAAGGUCUUCGGAUCGUAAAACCCUGUUAUUAGGGAAGAACAUAUGUGUAAGUAACUGUGCACAUCUUGACGGUACCUAAUCAGAAAGCCACGGCUAACUACGUG